CACUGCUGCCUGCAUCCCUGCAGCUCAAGCUCCAGCCAUGGCUGAAAGAUGCACAGGUACAGCUCAGGUCACUGCUUCAGAGGAUGCAGGCUAGAAACCUUGGUAACAUCCUCAUAGUGUUAAGCCACUGGUGGACGGAGUGUGAGACUAGAGGCUUGGGAGCAUCUCUAUAGAUUUUGGAAGAUGUAUGGAAAUUCCUGGGUGUCCAGGCAAAACAUCCCAAAAAGGCAGAGCCUUAUAUCAAACUUCUACUAGGGCAGUGCAGAAGGAAAAUAUGGGGUUGGAACUCCCACACUGGAGACCACCAUCAUGCAGACCCCAGAUUCAUAGACCCCCCCCCCAAAACUUGUUUCCUCAAUGUGGAAAAGUCACAGGCACUCAUCACCAGCCCAGCCCAUGAGGGCACCCUUGGGGCAUAUACCCUGCAAAGCCACAGGUGCCAAGCUGCCCGAGGCCUUGGGAGCCCAGCCCUCACACCCCUGUGUCCUGGAUGUGGGACAGGGUUUCAAAAAGGGUGAUUUUGGAGCUGUAGGAUUGAAUGACUGGCCUUCUGGGUUUGGAGUUUCAUGGGGCCAGUAAGUCCUAUCUGUGUUUUGUUUUUUUUUCUGGCAAAAUUCUUCCUUUUGGCUGGGAAUGCUUACCCAAUGCCUGUACAAGCAUUGUACCUUGGAAGUAGUUAACUUGCUUUAUAUUUCAGAGGCUCAUGGGCCUAAGGGACUGUAGCCUUGUGUCAGAUGAGACUUUAGGCUUUGGACAUUUGUAUAAAUGCUGGAAUGAUAUAAGAUUUUAUGGGACUUUAGGGAAGGCAUCAUUGUAUUUUGCAAUGUGAGAAGGACAUGAGAUUUGGGGAGUGAGGGAAAGAAUAAUAAAAUUCAGCUCUGUGUCCCUACCAAAACUCAUGUGGAAUUGUAAUUGGAAUGUUAAAGGUGGGGCCUGGUGGAAGAUGAUUUAAUCACGGUGCAGAGUGGGGGUUGGAAGAUGGGGGUGUAGGGAAAAUGGGGGAAUUAUGGUGGGGGUGAGGGGUGAAAAUUGGGGUGGGGGGUCAGAUCCUUCACAAAUCAUUAAACACUAUCUCCUUAUUGCUGUCCUUGUGACGGUGAGUUCUUUUCAUGAUUUUAGAACUGUAAGAUUAAAUGGAUACUGGCCUCCUGGGUUUUGGACUUGCAUUGGGCCUGUGGUCCCAUUUGUGUUAUUUUCCUGGGAAAUUUCUGCCCUUUGGAUUGAAAAAGCUUACCCAAUGCCUGUACCAUUAUUGUACCUUGAAAGAAAGAACAUUCUUUUAAAUUCAGGGACUCAUAGGCAAAAGGUACUGUAGACUUGUCUCAGAUGAGAUGUUGAAUUUUUUACAUUUGAGUUAUUGUUGGAAUGAGUUAAGACUUUUGGAAAAUUUUGAAAAGACAUGAAUAUAUUUUGCUCUGUGAGAAGGACAAGAGACUGCAGGGUAUCAGGUCAGAAUAAUAUGAUUUGGCUGUGUUUCUUUACCAAAACUCAUGUGAAUUGUAAUCCUUAAUGUUGGAGGUGGGACCUGGCUGGAGGUGAUUUAAUCAUGGAUGGGAGGGGGACCGGGGAUGGAAGGAAAGGGGUGGGUAGGGUGAGGAGUAGGUUGUUAGUAGGGUGGUGGGUACUAGGAGGGGGGAGUAACCUGCUUCAGAAGCAGAGGCUCAUGGAAAGUCUCUACUAGGGCAGGGCACCUGUGGCUUUGCAGGGUGUAGCCCCCAUGGCUGCUGUCAUGGGCUGGGCUCGUGUGGAGUGCCUGUAGCUUUUCUGUUCUGAGAGUGCAAGCUGUUGGUGGGUCUAUGAAUCUGCAGUCUGGAGGAUGGUGGCCUCCUGUAUGUGGGCUCCAAGCCUACAUUUUCCUUCUGCACUGCCCUGGUAGAGGUUCUCCAAGAGGCUCUGCCUCUGCAGGAGGCUUCUACGUGGAAACAGUGGGGGGUGGUGUGGGUGGAUCCUUCACCAAUGGUUAAUCUUCUUGAUGCUGAUCUCCUGAUACUGAGUUCUCAUGAGAUCUGGUUGUAUAACAAGUGUGGCACCUCUUUCCUCUCUCUGUCUUCCUCCUACACCUGCCAUAUGGAACAUCUCAUUGUCGCUUGGCCUUCUGGUAUGGUAGGAGACUUCCUGAGUCCUCCCAGAAGCAGAAGCCACUAUGUUCCCUUUACAGCCUGCAGAACUGUGAGCCAAUUAAACCUCUUUUUAAAAUAAUACUACAGAAAAUUUGUACUGUAGAGUGGAGCUAUGAAAUGCCCUCAAGGUUUUUUUCCUGAUUUUUUACUAUUAACAUUUGGCUUCUUUUAUAUGCAAAUAUCUGAAGCCUUCUUGAAUUUUCCCCCUGAAAAUGGACUUUUUUUCUUUUACCACACUGCCAGGCUGUCACAACGAUAGCUGAAAGUGUAGAAGCAAGUUCAGAAGCAGGUUCAGAAGCUGGGUAACGACCGCAGGCUGCACAGUUUGGAGGGCUUGGAAGAAGACAGAAAGAUGAAUGAAAGUUUUGACUAUUGUAGAGACGUGUUAAAUAGUUAUAAUUAAAAGGGUGACUGAAGGAUGGAUAGUGAAGGCCAGGCUUAGAAGGUCUCAGAUGAAAAUGAACAACUUACUGGGAGCAGAAGCCAAGGUAACUUUUCUUUUGCCUUAGCAAAGAACUUGGCUGGAUGGUGCCCCUGCCCUGGUGACCUGUGAAACUUUGAACUUGAGGGUGAUGAUUUAGGGUAUAUCUGGUGAAAUGAACUUCUAGGCAGCAAAGCUCAAGAGGUAUCUUGUCUGUAUUGAACAGCCUGUGGUGUUCUGUGUGACCAAAUAAAUGACCUCAAGUUGAAACUUAUAUUUAAAUGAGAAGCAGAGCUUUG
rnacentral:lncRNA from 10 species